CCUACGGGGCGCAGCAGUGGGGAAUAUUGCACAAUGGGGGAAACCCUGAUGCAGCGACGCCGCGUGAGUGAAGAAGUAUUUCGGUACGUAAAGCUCUAUCAGCAGGGAAGAAAAUGACGGUACCUGACUAAGAAGCCCCGGCUAACUACGGGCCAGCAGCCGCGGUAAUACGUAGGGGGCAAGCGUUAUCCGGAUUUACUGGGUGUAAAGGGAGCGUAGACGGCAGCGCAAGUCUGGAGUGAAAUCCCAUGGCUUAACCAUGGAACUGCUUUGGAAACUGUGCAGCUAGAGUGCAGGAGAGGUAAGCGGAAUGCCUAGUGUAGCGGUGAAAUGCGUAGAUAUUAGGAGGAACACCAGUGGCGAAGGCGGCUUACUGGACUGUAACUGACGUUGAGGCUCGAAAGCGUGGGGAGCAAACAGGAUUAGAUACCCGGGUAGUC
rnacentral:rRNA from 1 species